AAGGAAGAUGGCAGAUAGAAGGCAGGACUAACUUGCAGCUCCAGCUUUGACAAAUAGAGCAGCAUGUGGAGACUCACAUCAUUAACUUUUGCUCCAGAACUACUGCAGGAAUAUACCAGGAAUGCUGAGCGAAUCCAUAGACGCUCUGAAGGAAGUGGAUUGCUCCUGCAGGACCUGGGAGACAGCCCAAAUACUGCACAGUUAAAGAAAUGUGUUACUGACAAGCCUGCAGGCCACAUGGCGAGAUGGAAAGCAAGCAGGUUCGUGAACCAGGAAGUUGGGACUGCAUCACUGGGCCGGUCACUCCACUUCGUGGUACUUCUGCUUCCUCCUCCAAGGUCAACCAAGGUCCUUUUGUGGCUUCUGUGACUAUCUAGAGGGUU